rnacentral:rRNA from 1 species
CCUACGGGAGGCAGCAGUGAGGAAUAUUGGUCAAUGGGUGCAAGCCUGAACCAGCCAUCCCGCGUGAAGGACGACUGCCCUAUGGGUUGUAAACUUCUUUUGUAUAGGGAUAAACCUACCCUCGUGAGGGUAGCUGAAGGUACUAUACGAAUAAGCACCGGCUAACUCCGUGCCAGCAGCCGCGGUAAUACGGAGGGUGCAAGCGUUAUCCGGAUUUAUUGGGUUUAAAGGGUCCGUAGGCGGACUUAUAAGUCAGUGGUGAAAGCCUGUCGCUUAACGAUAGAACUGCCAUUGAUACUGUAAGUCUUGAGUAUAUUUGAGGUAGCUGGAAUAAGUAGUGUAACGGUGAAAUGCAUAGAUAUUACUUAGAACACCAAUUGGGAAGGCAGGUUACCAAGAUAUAACUGACGCUGAGGGACGAAAGCGUGGGGAGCCAACAGGAUUAGAUACCCUGGUAGUCCACCCCGUAAACGAUGCUAACUCGUUUAAGGCUUUAGGGUCCCGAG